GAUGAACGCUAGCGGCAGGCUUAACACAUGCAAGUCGAGGGGUAUAGUAGCAAUACUAGAGACCGGCGCACGGGUGCGUAACGCGUAUGCAAUCUACCUUUCACAGAGGGAUAGCCCAGAGAAAUUUGGAUUAAUACCUCAUGGUAUUAUAUUAUGGCAUCAUAUUAUAAUUAAAGUUACAACGGUGAAAGAUGAGCAUGCGUCCCAUUAGCUAGUUGGUAUGGUAACGGCAUACCAAGGCGACGAUGGGUAGGGGUCCUGAGAGGGAGAUCCCCCACACUGGUACUGAGACACGGACCAGACUCCUACGGGUGGCAG
rnacentral:rRNA from 1 species